AUUGAACGCUGGCGGCAGGCCUAACACAUGCAAGUCGAGCGAGCGGCGGACGGGUGAGUAAUGUAUGGGGACUGCCCGUUAGAGGGGGAUAACUACUGGAAACGGUAGCUAAUACCGCAUACUAUCUCAUAACCCCUAUGGGAUUAGCUAGUAGGUGAGGUAAUGGCUCACCUAGGCGCCGAUCUCCAGCUGGUCUGAGAGGAUGAUCAGCCACACUGGGACGGAGACACGGCCCAGACUCCUACGGAGGCAGCAGUGGGGAAUAUUGCACAAUGGGCGCAAGCCUGAUCCAGCCAUGCCGCGUGUAUGAUGAAGGCCUUCGGGUUGUAAAGUACUUUAGGCGGAGAAGCGGUAUCUGCAGAAGAAGCACCGGCUAACUACGUGCCAGCAGCCGCGGUAAUAC
rnacentral:rRNA from 1 species